AUUUGAUGAUCAAGAGCUCUCAAACUGCACCUGGAUACUAAUUCUGAAUGGAAACUUACAAUUGUAAGGUGGACAAAUCCUUUUUGUGUGAGGAAGAUGUGGCUGUUGGGAGAGUCAAGUAAUUGAAUGACGUGAAUUUCCUGGAGUUUCCAUAAGUUCCUGUAAAUUUAGCCUCCAACUGAAAUAAACCAACUGAAUGUAAGACAUCAGACCCUAAAGAACCAAAGUUGUUAUUUCUGUGGAAGACCAGCCAACCUAUUCUCACAGCUGAAACAAUGGAUCUGGCCUGCAGAGUGUUAAGGCAUUCUCCAAGUUUCAAAACAAGAGUACACCAUUUUGAAGGCCUAUAAAUAGAAAGAAUUUUUCAAAUAUUAAUUCAGUAAUGACCUCUGUCUUUGGAAAAGAUAAUUGCAAUGUGUUACUGCGAACCAAUUUAAACCUGUAUUUCUCAUUGCAUUUAAUAUUUAAUUUUGUUUUUUAUCAUUAUAUAUCAACAGUUCUUUCUGGAGCAAAGCAAUCCUAUUUGACUUUUUUUUUUUUUAACCUUAUAGUGCACACACACAUGUAUGUGUAGGGUUAUUUAAACAAGGAAACAUUUACAUCAAAAUGUGCAAAGAGUUAUCCUGGAAUAGAAAUGCUGAAAAUAUAUUUUCAAGAAGUUUUAAAAUUCUAGGCUGGCCUCAAUGUAUUCAGUAGCAUGCCAGAAACAGAAAAAAAAAUUUAAUCUCUCCAUUUGCUUAUUCCUAUUAACAUAUAUAGAAAAAAAACUUGCUCUAAACCUAAUGCCUAUGCGAUAUGUUUGUUUCCUGAUGCUGAUGAUAAAUCAUAACCGGGCACUUGGUUAUAUUUUUUAAUGUUCUACAUUUCUAGCACUGCUACUGUAUUCACAAUGAGCUUUAUAUCUGACAGUAAUUUUAUUUUCAGGUUCAGUCAUAUGAUGCCUUUCUAUAGGAAUAGGUUCUAUCACAGGAACAAAUUAUUCAAAUCUAGUUUAACGGACUCAGCAAUUCUCCUCAGUUUUAUCUUGGGCAUUUUGUAUUCCUUUGCCUAAACCUAGUGGCUAUGUAACAAUUCAAUUACCAAAGUCCUUCAUCCAGAAAGUGCUGUUGAUUUCCAGUAAUUCUUAUUCUGUUUGAUUUCUUUUUUUUUUCCUCCUAGUUUAACACAUGCCAGUUGGUGUCGACUGAGUUAAAAAUCUUGAAAUAAGCCUGGCACUGUGUCAGUACAUAGGUUAAAAAAUGAAACAAAAAAAUUUAAUAAAAUAUACGCUAGAAAUGGAAAAUAAGAUUAGCAGUGGCAUUUCUUGUCAUAAGGACAUUUUCUGUCUAUGCACACAAAAUAAAACCAGCUCAGUGUAGCUGAAGAAGAGAGGAAAGAGAGAGGUGGUAUAAAUUGAAAGACGAAAAGGCAGAGACUGAGUGUACAGAAGCGCGUUGAGAGCAUGCAGUCAGCUGGCAAGAAAAGGCAACUCGAAGAGCCUCAGAAGGUAAAACCUCAGUUGGCAGAUAAAGUGGGU
rnacentral:lncRNA from 1 species